GAUUCUGGCUCAGGAUGAACGCUAGCGACAGGCCUAACACAUGCAAGGUCGAGGGGCAGCGCGGAGUAGCAAUACUUGGCGGCGACCGGCGCACGGGUGAGUAACACGUAUGCAACCAACCCAUAACAGGGGGAUAACCCGGAGAAAUCCGGACUAAUACCGCAUAAGACCACGAUAUCGCAUGACAUAGAGGUCAAAUAUUUAUAGGUUAUGGACGGGCAUGCGUCUGAUUAGCUGGUUGGCGGGGUAACGGCCCACCAAGGCAUCGAUCAGUAGGGGUUCUGAGAGGAAGGUCCCCCACAUUGGAACUGAGACACGGUCCAAACUCCUACGGGAGGCAGCAGUGAGGAAUAUUGGUCAAUGGGCGAAAGCCUGAACCAGCCAUGUCGCGUGAAGGAAUGAAGGUCCUAUGGAUUGUAAACUUCUUUUGCAGGAGGGUAAAGUGAGCUACGUGUAGUUCAUUGCAAGUACCCUGCGAAUAAGCAUCGGCUAACUCCGUGCCAGCCGCAGC
rnacentral:rRNA from 1 species